CUGCCCGUAGCUCAAUUGGAUAGAGCACCGGCCUUCUAAGCCGGGGGUUGCAGGUUCGAUCCCUGCCGGGCAGGCCA
rnacentral:tRNA from 26 species